rnacentral:rRNA from 1 species
UACAGAGGGUGCGAGCGUUGUCCGGAAUCACUGGGCGUAAAGGGCGCGUAGGUGGCUGGGUAAGUGUGCGGUGAAAGCCCGGGGCUCAACCCCGGGUCUGCCGUGCAGACUGCUUGGCUCGAGCAUAGUAGAGGCACGUGGAAUUCCGGGUGUAGCGGUGGAAUGCGUAGAGAUCCGGAAGAACACCGGUGGCGAAGGCGGCGUGCUGGGCUAUUGCUGACACUGAGGCGCGACAGCGUGGGGAGCAAACAGG